UACGUAGGGUGCGAGCGUUUAAUCGGAAUUACUGGGCGUAAAGAGUGCGUAGGCGGUUCGUUAAGUCAGCUGUGAAAGCCCCGGGCUCAACCUGGGAACUGCGGUUGAAACUGGCGAACUAGAAUCUGGCAGAGGGGGGUGGAAUUCCACGUGUAAGCAGUGAAAUGCGUAGAUAUCGGGAGGAACACCUGUGGCGAAAGCGGCGCACUGGACCGACAACGUGACGCUGGAGGCGCGAAAGCUAGGGGAGCAAACAGG
rnacentral:rRNA from 1 species